ensembl:lncRNA
CGAUCUCCGGCUAGACUAAGCCGAAAAACUGCUCCCGACCAGGUUUGGUUGCGAGCAUAAGUCACCAUGGUGAUACAACGACGCUAAAAGAGAUCGACUUUCGUGGUACAACUAAGCCAGGCUUGGAGCUCAACAUACCUCGCUAACCCUCUAAGCGAGCUUCGUGGUACAGGGCCCCGGAGAGUCUUCCGUCUGUUUGUUAUCCUGACAUCGUCAACUACCUGGUUUUCUCGCCAAGCCCAUACACAGCGGAAGACCUUAAAGCGUACAAAAGUUUGGAGGCCUAUAACCAGAUGGUGUGUGGAUGGGUGAGGGAGAUUCAAUACCAAGUCAUCGACGACAGAUGUGUUGCGAAGGCCAAAGUUCUCCAUUCUCAAUCAAUCCGAGAAACACCCCUGGAUAAUCGCUGAGAAGUCUGGUCGGAUACUUGGAGCCCACUGCACGUGUAUGGCUGGCCUCGGAGAGACGUGCACACAUGUUGCUGCAUUAUUGUUUCUCAUAGAAGAAACAGUGAAGUUGAGGGACUAAAAGACAGUGACGCAAGAGAAGGCGUAUUGGCUGUUACCUACUGCACUGUCUAAGGUGGAAUACAGGGAAUGCCGGAAGAUUGACUUCACUGUAACCAAGAGGUCUCAAGUAAAAGAGCUGGCAGGAUGAAAUGUGCUGCUCUUGGACAGCCACUUGAGGACCCAAGUGAUACUUCCACUUCUUCUACUGUUACAGUUGGGAAACCGCAACAGCCAACCAGUGAUGAACUGUCAUCAUUAUUCAGUGCUCUUAGCGCGACUGGAUC